AGAGACCCGUGCAGAGUGAGGCGCCAAGCCAGAGCCAGCAGACAAAGCACUCCUCCAGUGCCAACUUGAUCUAAACUCCUCCCUUGAUGCAUCUUCUUCCCUGUUCCCCCCAAGUCCUGAACUCCACCUACCCUGGGUGUGUGUAUGCAGUGUGCACAUGAGCCCAAAUAUUCUCACUGAUCCCCUGGAGCUGGAAUUAAACAGUCCUCAGCCAUCUGAUGUGGGCGAUGGGAACUGAACUCUGGUCUUCUGCAAGAGCAGUGUGAGCCCUAAAUUGCAGCAGUAUCGCAACUCAGAGCUGAGAGAAGCCGGGCGACUCAUGGAAAAUACUAUCUCCUUCCAUUGCUUCUGCAACCAGCCAAUCAAGAUGACCUUCAUGCCGCACCUGAACCCUGCGGAAUUCUCCCAGUGAGCUCUGUUACCUUGACUUCUGAUUGCCUCUCUUGGGGACCAAAGUGAGUUUUGGUGUUGUCGUUGUUUUGAGAUGGCUGGCCUGGGACUUGCUAAGUAGCCGGCUUCAAACUCAGAGAUCUGCCUACCUCUGCCUCCUGAGUGUUGGGAUGAAAGGUGUGUGCCACUAUGUCUGGUUCAACGUACUUUGUAAUGUUUUAUUCAAGAUUCAGAAAGAAAAUAAAAUUAAUUAAAAAAAAAUUAACAAGGACAAAGCCUUUGCUCUUUCUUUUAACUAAGUUAGUGAUUCUCAACCUUCCCAAUGCUGCAACCCUUUAAUACAGUUCCUCAAGUUGUGGUGACCCCCAACCAUAACAUUACUUUGUUGUAGGCUGUAGAGAUGGCUCAGUGGUUAAGACAGCUCUUCUAGAGGAACUGAGUUCAGUUCCCAGCACCUACAGCUCACAACUGUCUGUGACUCCAGUUCCAGUGGCCCUGACAUCCUCACACUGGCAUACAUGCAAGGCAAAACACCAAAUGCACAUGAAAUAAAGAUAAAUAAAUUAUUAAAAAUAUUAUUUGUUGUGGGGUUGGGGAGACGACUCAGUGGUUAAGAGCACUGACUGCUCUUCCAGAGGUCCUGAGUUCAAUUCCCAGCAACCACAUGGUGGCUCACAACCAUCUGUAAUGGGAUCUGAUGCCCUCUUCUGGUGGGUCUGAAAGCAGCUAUAGUGUACUCACAGACAUAGAAUAAAUAAAAUCUUUUUAAAAAAAUCAUCUGUCGCCACUUCAUUACUGUAAUUUGCUACUGUUAUGAAUAGUAAUGCAAAUAUCUGAUAUGCUAACCAUGGGACUCACGACCCACAGGUUGAGAACCACUGUUCUGAAAGAUUCUGCUCCCCCCUCCUCCGCCCCAGAUGAGGACCGAA